ACAAGAAGGUCUGGAAGCUGAAUGUUCUAGAAGCUUCAUGGAUGACACAUUUGGACACACGUGCUUGUGAACCUGCUGAGCUAGUGCAGAGGGUCCGCCUGUCUCCAUAUGGUCAGAGUUAGGUGAAAUGGACCCCAUUCGAAGGUUCCCGAAAAUCGUGAAAGAAGAAUAAGCUGAAGAGAGGCACCAUGGAGAGACAGCACACAGUCUCGUAGCAAGGGAAAGGGUGUUCAGAGAUCUCCUGCAGCCUAUCCAGGGGGCCAUCUCUCCCAGUACUAAGAACCCUAAGUUCAGGCAACAGGAGCGAUUGUACUCUGGACCAGAAAGAGCCACAUUGCACAUCAGUGAUGUGGUCUUGACACUGAUGUUGGCACUUCGCAUCAGUAUGCAAGUGGAGUCCCGGAAGACUUACGGGACUAAAGGAGGAAUUUUGUUUGUGGAAUCUAUGGCAGAGAUUUCCAGGCCUCCAGGACCCUGAAAGAAAGAGGCUAACGACCCCUGCACUGGAGAACAUCGGGAGACACCAGGAUUCUGCUGUUUGCGAUUUGUGUCUGCUUCUCGUCAGCAUCGUCUCCGAGACGUGGUCCUCACGUCUGGACGAUGAAUUAAGCAGACAUGGGGGAUGCUUCCUCCUCAGUAUUCCUUCCGCCUUUGCAUUCAUUAAAAACAAAAAUGACC